rnacentral:rRNA from 2 species
UACGUAGGGCGCAAGCGUUGUCCGGAAUUAUUGGGCGUAAAGAGCUCGUAGGCGGUUUGUCGCGUCUGCUGUGAAAUCCUCAGGCUCAACUUGGGGCGUGCAGUGGGUACGGGCAGACUAGAGUGCGGUAGGGGAGACUGGAAUUCCUGGUGUAGCGGUGGAAUGCGCAGAUAUCAGGAGGAACACCGAUGGCGAAGGCAGGUCUCUGGGCCGUUACUGACGCUGAGGAGCGAAAGCAUGGGGAGCGAACAGG